UACAGAGGUCUCAAGCGUUGUUCGGAUUCAUUGGGCGUAAAGGGUGCGUAGGUGGCGCCAUAAGUCAGGUGUGAAAUCUCGGGGCUCAACCCCGAAACUGCACUUGAUACUGCGGUGCUUGAGGACUGGAGAGGAGACUGGAAUUUACGGUGUAGCAGUGAAAUGCGUAGAGAUCGUAAGGAAGACCAGUGGCGAAGGCGGGUCUCUGGACAGUUCCUGACACUGAGGCACGAAGGCCAGGGGAGCAAACGGG
rnacentral:rRNA from 1 species